GGGGGUAUAGCUCAGUUGAUAGAGUGCUUGCCUUGCAUGCACAAGACCCUGGGUUCAAUCCCCAGCACCACAC
rnacentral:tRNA from 1 species